UCAAAAAUAAAAGGUGGCUUCGGCUACCACUUACAGAUGGACCCGCGGCGCAUUAGCUAGUUGGUGAGGUAACGGCUCACCAAGGCGACGAUGCGUAGCCGACCUGAGAGGGUGAUCGGCCACACUGGGACUGAGACACGGCCCAGACUCCUACGGGAGGCAGCAGUAGGGAAUCUUCCGCAAUGGACGAAAGUCUGACGGAGCAACGCCGCGUGAGUGAUGAAGGUUUUCGGAUCGUAAAGCUCUGUUGUUAGGGAAGAACAAGUGCCGUUCUAAUAGGGCGGCACCUUGACGGUACCUAACCAGAAAGCCACGGCUAACUACGUGCCAGCAGCCGCGGUAAUACGUAGGUGGCAAGCGUUGUCCGGAAUUAUUGGGCGUAAAGGGCUCGCAGGCGGUUUCUUAAGUCUGAUGUGAAAGCCCCCGGCUCAACCGGGGAGGGUCAUUGUAAACUGUGGGAACCUGAGUGCCCAAGAGGAGAGUGUAAUUCCACUUGUCUCGGUGAAAUGCGGAGAGAUGCGCAAGAACACCAGUGGCUCAGGCGACUCUCUGGGCAGUAACUGAGAUUAAGAGCGAAAGCGUCGGCGAGCCUAUAGUAUUAGAACCUCUGUAGUCACCGCGGAGCCAUUAGUGAUUGUUGUUCGGGGUUUCUUCCCCUUAUUGCAGCANUACGAGAUAAUCACUCC
rnacentral:rRNA from 1 species